GUUGUCCGGAUUAUUGGGCGUAAAGCGCGCGCAGGCGGAUUGGUCAGUCUGUCUUAAAAGUUCGGGGCUUAACCCCGUGAUGGGAUGGAAACUGCCAAUCUAGAGUAUCGGAGAGGAAAGUGGAAUUCCUAGUGUAGCGGUGAAAUGCGUAGAUAUUAGGAAGAACACCAGUGGCGAAGGCGACUUUCUGGACGAAAACUGACGCUGAGGCGCGAAAGCCAGGGGAGCGAACGGGAUUAGAUACCCCGGUAGUCCUGGCCGUAAACGAUGGGUACUAGGUGUAGGAGGUAUCGACCCCUUCUGUGCCGGAGUUAACGCAAUAAGUACCCCGCCUGGGGAGUACGACCGCAAGGUUGAAACUCAAAGGAAUUGACGGGGGCCCGCACAAGCGGUGGAGUAUGUGGUUUAAUUCGACGCAACGCGAAGAACCUUACCAGGUCUUGACAUUGAUGGACAGAACUAGAGAUAGUUCCUCUUCUUCGGAAGCCAGAAAACAGGUGGUGCACGGUUGUCGUCAGCUCGUGUCGUG
rnacentral:rRNA from 1 species